rnacentral:rRNA from 1 species
UACGGAGGGUGCAAGCGUUAUCCGGAUUCACUGGGUUUAAAGGGUGCGUAGGCGGGCAGGUAAGUCCGUGGUGAAAUCUCUGAGCUUAACUCAGAAACUGCCAUGGAUACUAUUUGUCUUGAAUGUUGUGGAGGUAAGCGGAAUAUGUCAUGUAGCGGUGAAAUGCUUAGAUAUGACAUAGAACACCCAUUGCGAAGGCAGCUUACUACACAAUUAUUGACGCUGAGGCACGAAAGCGUGGGGAUCAAACAGG